UCGUGCUAAAACAACCAAGUGCAAUAAAAAUACUUACCAAACACCUCAUCUUGCUAUGUUGCUUAGAAUUCAGGUGCUUGCUUGCUUGCUUUUUUUUUUUUUUUAAAAUAACACAAGGAAAUUCAAGUUUGAAAGCUGUAUUAAGUAUUGCCCUCCUGUUCUUGCAGUUCUUCGGCUGUAGGUAGAGAGGAAGCCUGGCUGGUAUUGUUUUGCGAUAAAGACAGUGGCUUCUGUAAGCCAAGAUAUUCUGCACUGUCUGAGGAUCUCUGCAGUGCUCUUAAACUCCUCCACUGAGACAGUGGGUCUGAAAGAAAAAGAGAAAACAAGCAACUGCAACUCCGGUAUUUCAAGGAAUGCUGAGAGAGGAUCUUGGACCUACAGCCUUCCAUGAUUGAUACCAAUCUGAUUAAACAUGAUGAGGCACAAAGUGAAGGUCAAACACCCCAAAAACCCAAGAUUUGAUUCUCCACCAUCUCACCCUAGAAAAAUGGAAUCCAUUUUCACUUUGCAACUUGGUGUUACUUAUACAUUGAUUGAGAAAGGAACAACUAGUUUCAACCUCCAGUAAACAGCUGGUAUCCUUAGAUAAGGAAAUCUCUGCACACGGCCAAGCUUCCAAUAUCAUGAAAAAAUGAUGCAGCAGGAAGAAAGAGACAACAGAAUCCCCAAGUGCUUAUAUGAGACAACAUAAUUUAUAACCAAUAUUCAUAACAUAACUUAAUCAUCACAUUCCUUUUUGUAUUCUGUCAUUAAACUGUAACCACAACUUCCUUUGGCAUCUUUGGAUUUGUUCCUGACAAAAUUAAAUACAUCACAGCAGCAAAGACGUGACUUCUGGUAUGAGAGGAUCAGAGGAGAACAGCUGAAGGAU
rnacentral:lncRNA from 1 species